rnacentral:ncRNA from 1 species
AUAAAUUUUAGUAUUAAAUUUACUUUAUUUUAAUAAUAAUUUAUAUAUAAAUUUAGUAAUUAAUAUUAAAUAUUUAAGAAAUUAAUAUUUAGUAAUAUUUUAAUUAAUAACAAAUUUUGUGCCAGCAGUUGCGGUUAUACAAAAAUUAAAUUGAAUUUUAUUAGUAAUUAAUAAAUAAAUUAAUAUUAUAAUUUAAAUUUUAAAUUAUUAGGUGAAAUUUUAAUUUAAUUAAAUUUUAUAUUUUUAAUUAUGAUUUAAUAAAUUUUAUAAAAAACUAGGAUUAGAUACCCUAUUAUAAAAAAAUAAAAAUAAUAUACUAAAAUAGUAGAUAAUUAAUUAUUGAAACUUAAAUAAUUUGGCGGUAUUUUAGUUCAUUUAGAGGAAUCUGUUUAAUAAUUGAUAAUCCACGAAUAAAUUUACUUAAUUUAUAAUUUUGUAUAUCGUUGUUAAAAAAAUAUUUUUUAAUAAAAUUAAUAUUUGAAAAUUAUUAUAAAAAAUUAAAUCAGAUCAAGAUGCAGAUUAUAAUUAAGAAUAUAAUGGAUUACAAUAAAUUUAUUUAUAUGAAUAUUAAUUUGUAAUAAUUAAUUGAAGGUGGAUUUAAAUGUAAUUUUAUUUAAUUUAAUAAAAUGAUUAAAAAUUGAAAUAUGUACAUAUUGCCCGUCGCUUUCAUAUAUUAAUAAGUUGAAAUAAGUCGUAACAAAGUAGAGGUACUGGAAAGUGUUUCUAGAAAGAC